rnacentral:tRNA from 2 species
GGCGCGGUAGCUCAGCUGGUUAGAGCGCUGGUCUCAUAAGCCGGAGGUCGAGGGUUCGAGUCCCUCUCUCGCUACCA